rnacentral:rRNA from 1 species
GACGGAGGGUGCGAGCGUUAUUCGGAAUUAUUGGGCGUAAAGGGCGCGUAGGCGGCCGGUCAAGUCAGAUGUGAAAGCCCAGGGCUUAACCCUGGAAGUGCAUUUGAAACUGGUCGGCUUGAGUUCGGGAGAGGAAAGCGGAAUUCCGGGUGUAGAGGUGAAAUUCGUAGAUAUCCGGAGGAACACCGGUGGCGAAGGCGGCUUUCUGGACCGAAACUGACGCUGAGGCGCGAAAGCGUGGGGAG